rnacentral:rRNA from 1 species
UACAGAGGGUGCAAGCGUUGUUCGGAAUUAUUGGGCGUAAAGCGCGUGUAGGCGGCUUUGCAAGUCGGGUGUGAAAGCCCUCAGCUCAACUGAGGAAGUGCAUCCGAAACUGGCAGGCUUGAGUACUAAAGAGGGUCGCGGAAUUCCCGGUGUAGAGGUGAAAUUCGUAGAUAUCGGGAGGAACACCGGUGGCGAAGGCGGCGACCUGGGUAGAUACUGACGCUGAGGUGCGAAAGCGUGGGGAGCAAACAGG